rnacentral:tRNA from 1 species
ACCCGUCUAGCUCAGUCGGUAGAGCGCUGGCCUUUUAAGCCAGUGGUCGUGGGUUUGAUCCCCACGAGGGGUG